ensembl:snRNA U1 U1 spliceosomal RNA
AUACUUAUCCGGCAGGGGAGUCACCACAAACUCAAAGGUGGUUCUCCCAGGGGAGGCCUAUCCAUUGCAGUCCAGAUAGGCCAACCCCUGCAAUUUCCCCAGACGUGGGAAGCUAGACUGCAUACUUUGUGGUAAUGGGGGACUGCAUUUGCACUCUCCCC